AUUGAACGCUGGCGGCAGGCCUAACACAUGCAAGUCGAGCGGAUGAAGGGAGCUUGCUUCUGGAUUCAGCGGCGGACGGGUGAGUAAUGCCUAGGAAUCUGCCUGGUAGUGGGGGACAACGUUUCGAAAGGAACGCUAAUACCGCAUACGUCCUACGGGAGAAAGCAGGGGACCUUCGGGCCUUGCGCUAUCAGAUGAGCCUAGGUCGGAUUAGCUAGUUGGUGAGGUAAUGGCUCACCAAGGCGACGAUCCGUAACUGGUCUGAGAGGAUGAUCAGUCACACUGGAACUGAGACACGGUCCAGACUCCUACGGGAGGCAGCAGUGGGGAGUAUUGGACAAUGGGCGAAAGCCUGAUCCAGCCAUGCCGCGUGUGUGAAGAAGGUCUUCGGAUUGUAAAGCACUUUAAGUUGGGAGGAAGGGUUGUAGAUUAAUACUCUGCAAUUUUGACGUUACCGACAGAAUAAGCACCGGCUAACUCUGUGCCAGCAGCCGCCGUAAUAC
rnacentral:rRNA from 1 species